UGAAAAUGAUGAUUAAUUAUUAUUUGCUACUCUUGAAGAGCUUUGAUGAAUACUUACACCUUAGAAACUGAGU
ensembl:snoRNA snoRNA:U76:54Eb snoRNA:U76:54Eb